rnacentral:rRNA from 1 species
CGGAAACAGAAUGCUAAUAACCGGAUAACAACAAGAUGAUGCCUAUCAACNGUUUAAAAGUAAUGGUUCUGCUAUCACUCUUGGAUGGACCUGCGGUGCAUUAGCUAGUUGGUAGGGUAACGGCCUACCAAGGCGAUGAUGCAUAGCCGAGUUGAGAGACUGAUCGGCCACAUUGGGACUGAGACACGGCCCAAACUCCUACGGGAGGCAGCAGAU